rnacentral:misc_RNA from 1 species
AACGGAUCAAAAACAACACAGUACCUGCUCAUAUAUAUAACAGAUCCAUACCAUGUGUGAACUAAAAUGUGGUCUAUAAUAUUUUAUAAACAGAAUAAUAUAUAACAGAAUAGGCUACAAUAACUAGUAAAAAGUGAGUGUAUGGGCAAAUACUUUCCACGCUUUUCAGGCUCCACAAAUGUUGCCUCCUCAUCUUCUUCAGAGA